rnacentral:rRNA from 1 species
UACGUAGGGGGCAAGCGUUGUCCGGAUUUAUUGGGCGUAAAGAGCGUGUAGGCGGCCUGAAAGGUCAGCUGUGAAAACUCGAGGCUCAACCUCGAGACGUCGGUUGAAACCAUCUGGCUAGAGUCCGGAAGAGGAGUGUGGAAUUCCUGGUGUAGCGGUGAAAUGCGCAGAUAUCAGGAGGAACACCGGUGGCGAAGGCGGGUCUCUGGGCCGAUAUUGACGCUGAGGAGCGAAAGCAUGGGGAGCGAACAGG